CUGCCUUGGCCUCCCAAAGUGCUGGGAUUCCAGGUGUAAGCCACCGUGCCCAGCCCUAAAACGUAUUUAAAAUGUUAUUUUGUUCCCUUAAAAAUACUUAUUAUUUUUGCUUAGUGCAAAGAUAAUGUGUGUUUAUGAUGAAAACCCUGAAAAUGUAGACAGGUAUAAGAAAUAGUCCAUUAACUAAUCACCCAGAAAUAACCAUUGCUAUGCAUUUUCUUUUGGCCUUUUUUCUAAGUACAUAUAUUUAAAAAAUAAAAUUAGAAUGCUAUUGUAUUUUUUAACUUCAUGUUUUGUAUCAUGAGCAAAUUCCCUCCUAAUAAAAGUUAUACAUAUUUUAACAUA
rnacentral:lncRNA from 10 species